rnacentral:rRNA from 1 species
GACGAACGCUGGCGGCGUGCUUAACACAUGCAAGUCGAACGGUAAGGCUCCAGCUUGCUGGGGUACACGAGUGGCGAACGGGUGAGUAACACGUGGGUGACCUGCCCUGCACUUCGGGAUAAGCCUGGGAAACUGGGUCUAAUACCGGAUAGGACCGCACCGUGAGGGUGUGGUGGAAAGUUUUUUCGGUGUGGGAUGGGCCCGCGGCCUAUCAGCUUGUUGGUGGGGUAAUGGCCUACCAAGGCGGCGACGGGUAGCCGGCCUGAGAGGGUGGACGGCCACAUUGGGACUGAGACACGGCCCAGACUCCUACGGGAGGCAGCAGUGGGGAAUAUUGCACAAUGGGCGGAAGCCUGAUGCAGCGACGCCGCGUGGGGGAUGACGGCCUUCGGGUUGUAAACUCCUUUCACCAUCGACGAAGGGUUUCUGACGGUAGAUGGAGAAGAAGCACCGGCUAACUACGUGCCAGCAGCCGCGGUAAUACGUAGGGUGCGAGCGUUGUCCGGAAUUACUGGGCGUAAAGAGCUCGUAGGUGGUUUGUCGCGUCGUCUGUGAAAUUCCGGGGCUUAACUCCGGGCGUGCAGGCGAUACGGGCAUAACUUGAGUACUGUAGGGGAGACUGGAAUUCCUGGUGUAGCGGUGAAAUGCGCAGAUAUCAGGAGGAACACCGGUGGCGAAGGCGGGUCUCUGGGCAGUAACUGACGCUGAGGAGCGAAAGCAUGGGGAGCGAACAGGAUUAGAUACCCUGGUAGUCCAUGCCGUAAACGGUGGGCGCUAGGUGUGGGUUUCCUUCCACGGGAUCCGUGCCGUAGCUAACGCAUUAAGCGCCCCGCCUGGGGAGUACGGCCGCAAGGCUAAAACUCAAAGGAAUUGACGGGGGCCCGCACAAGCGGCGGAGCAUGUGGAUUAAUUCGAUGCAACGCGAAGAACCUUACCUGGGCUUGACAUAUACAGGAUCGCGCCAGAGAUGGUGUUUCCCUUGUGGCUUGUAUACAGGUGGUGCAUGGUUGUCGUCAGCUCGUGUCGUGAGAUGUUGGGUUAAGUCCCGCAACGAGCGCAACCCUUGUCUUAUGUUGCCAGCACGUUGUGGUGGGGACUCGUAAGAAACUGCCGGGGUUAACUCGGAGGAAGGUGGGGAUGACGUCAAAUCAUCAUGCCCCUUAUGUCCAGGGCUUCACACAUGCUACAAUGGUCGGUACAGUGGGUUGCCAGUCCGUGAGGGCGAGCUAAUCCCGCAAAGCCGGUCUCAGUUCGGAUCGGGGUCUGCAACUCGACCCCGUGAAGUCGGAGUCGCUAGUAAUCGCAGACCAGCAACGCUGCGGUGAAUACGUUCCCGGGCCU